rnacentral:rRNA from 1 species
GUGGGGAAUAUUGGACAAUGGGCGAAAGCCUGAUCCAGCCAUGCCGCGUGUGUGAAGAAGGUCUUCGGAUUGUAAAGCACUUUAAGUUGGGAGGAAGGGCAGUAAGUUAAUACCUUGCUGUUUUGACGUUACCGACAGAAUAAGCACCGGCUAACUUCGUGCCAGCAGCCGCGGUAAUACGAAGGGUGCAAGCGUUAAUCGGAAUUACUGGGCGUAAAGCGCGCGUAGGUGGUUUUGUCAGUUGGAGGUGAAAUCCCCGGGCUCAACCUGGGAACUGCCUCCAAAACUACUGAGCUAGAGUACGGUAGAGGGUAGUGGAAUUUCCUGUGUAGCGGUGAAAUGCGUAGAUAUAGGAAGGAACACCAGUGGCGAAGGCGACUACCUGGACUGAUACUGACACUGAGGUGCGAAAGCGUGGGGAGCAAACAGGAUUAGAAACCCCAGUAGUCC